UACGGAGGGUGCAAGCGUUAGUCGGAAUUACUGGGCGUAAAGGGUGCGUAGGUGGGGAUGUAAGUUAGAUGUGAAAUACCGUUGCUCAACAACGGCCGUGCAUCUAAAACUGCGUUUCUAGAGGGAUAGCGGAGAAAACGGAAUUCCAUGUGUAGCGGUGAAAUGCGUAGAUAUAUGGAAGAACACCUGUGGCGAAAAGCGGUUUUCUAGCUCAACCCUGACACUGAGGCACGAAAGCAAGGGGAGCAAACAGG
rnacentral:rRNA from 1 species